UACUGCUAUAAUCUAUCAAGCCAUUUCAGUUGCUAAGAAACGCAAAGUACACAUAUUCUAUUUCAGGCAUUCUUGGAUUUCUACAACUCUCUCUUCACUUCUCGCGUGUUGAUAACUUCAAUACUACCAGUACCGGCAUGUACUAGCUCAUGCUUUAUUCAAGCUAGAGAAGGAACAGUACUUGCUGGACCUGGUCCAUAAGACUGUCGUGCACCAGGAAUUUGUAUAUCCGUGGGUCAAUUUGUAGAGUUGACGAUAACAAACCCAAUUAUUAUGAAGGAGAAUAAGCAAGAUCCUGCCCUACAUAGCCAUACACAAGGUGACGCUGUAAAUCCAAGCGGUGGUAAGGAUCUAGCAAGUAAUGCAAGAACAGCCAAAUGGAAAACAAUAGGCAUGCAGAUUUCCUUACGGCCAGAACAUAUCCUUGAACAUCGUUUACAAACGAACGUACAAGGAACCUGGAAUACCAUACUCGUAUUCUCAUGUGUGAUUGCAGUCUCAGUUGAUCCUUUGUUCUUUUACCUUCCGAUCAUUAAUGAGGAAAUCAAGUGCGUUGGAGUGGACAAAAAUUUGAGGACUGCUGCUCUUCUUUUGCGCGCUGUCACUGAUAUUGCUUUCAUCCUGAACAUUUUCUAUGAAAUUAAAAACGUCAUCGAAUAUGUAAAAUAUUCUAGAGCAAAGUUGAUGAAAAGUAAUGGAAAUAAACAGCUUCUGUUGAAAAGUAAUGGAAAUAAACAGCUUUCCAGAAGUUGGUUCCUUAAGAAAUUAGCUCGAAAGAUGCCAUGGCACUCGAUUACAAUUGAUAUUCUUGCGGUUCUCCCUAUCCCACAAGUGCUAAUGACUGUUUUCUUCAAAAUGAGAAGCUCCAAAUAUCUUGGCCGAAGAAAGAUUAUUGAUGUCUUUCUUCUUGCCCAAUAUUUACCAAGAAUUUAUCGUAUGCACCAUUCUUCACAGAAAUUCAAGCAAAGUAAGGGAGUAUAGAUCCAAGGUGUAUUCUAUUUUUUCUUGUAUAUCCUCGCCAGUCAUGUUAGUUUCUUUCAUAUAGUCAUUAGCUUUAAUCUUUUGUAUUGGAAAUUAACUAAUGGUUGAACCUAGCUAAGUGGGCUGGUUCGAGAGUGCUAUGUAAAGUUACUUCAAGGAAAGCACUAGUCAAGUAGUUACGUACAACAUAGAAUUAAAAGCUAGAACUCCUCGUAGGGAGGAAGUGGCGUUUAGUAGGAUUUAGUGUUGUUGAUUACCAUGUUCUUUAAUCAGAUUUGUUGUCUUUUAGGUGCUGGGAGGUUUUUGGUAUUUUUUCUCUAUUCAACGAGAGACAGCAUGUUGGCACCAAGCUUGUAUGAAGCAUAAUACAAGUGAAUGCAAUUUUUAUUGCAAUCAAGACAUUUCCUCUAGAAAUAUGACAUUCAUUCGUUCUCUAGAUGAAUUUUGCCUUGUUGAUGUUCCGGCAAAUGCGACCGCACCAUUUCAUUUUGGAAUAUUUCUUGAUUCCCUUAAGAGUGGUAACAUGGGGCAAAUAAAUUUCGCAAAGAAGAUCUCUUACUCUUUUUGGUGGGGACUACGAAAUCUUAGUAACUUUGGGACGAACUUGGAAACAAGUACGUAUGUGUGGGAAAACUGCUUUGCGAUCCUUACAUCUACUGUUGGCUUGCUUCUUUUCUUAUAUCUCAUUGGCAAAGUACAGACAUUUAUCUCAAUGCAAACUGAAAAAUCAGAGGAGAGAAGAAAAAAGCUUAGCUCGGCAUUGAUUGGUGUACAACUCUGGAUGAAUAAAAAUGAUCUGAAUCCAGAG